AUAGAGGCUAUGACGGGGAGUAGUAGACUUUCUUACUAUAAGAGCGAGCCGGGGGUGGUGGGAAGCCCGGUAUAGGAUGUAAGUCGAACGUCGCCCUUGAGCCGGUCAUGUGAACAGCGCGCGUCGCCGAGUAGCUUGACCCGUCUGCCCACGUUACGGGUGCAGAGAGCGGUAAGGUUGAAAAUAACCUUACUGAAGUUGGGUGGUACCGCGAGAUAUUCCUCUCGUCCCAUAA
rnacentral:ncRNA from 1 species